CUGGAUCGCUCCGGCUCCGGCGCCGGCUUCGGCACCUCCCGGCCGCCCGGGGCCGAGGCGAYGUGAGGUUGUAAAAAUCCAUGUGGGACGGCCCCGGGGCGAGCAUCGCAAAGAUCUCUGAUUGGAGUCAUUUUCUGGUACAGACCGUGAAAAGAACGCAGUGAAAGUCCUGGUCAACAGUGGAAAUACUGACUUAAACCCCAACUUAGUAUAGCAUUUCUUCUCUUCAGUAGCGCCUCAUAAUAGAAGAAAAAUGUAUGGAAGUGCAAGAACAAUCACCAAUCUGGAAGGCAGCCCUUCCAGAUCACCUCGUCUGCCAAGGUCUCCUCGUUUGGGCCACAGAAGAACGAGUAGUGGGGGAGGGGGAGGAACAGGCAAGACCCUGUCUAUGGAGAAUAUCCAGUCCCUUAAUGCAGCCUAUGCUACGUCUGGACCCAUGUACCUGAGUGAUCAUGAGGGGGUGGCUUCCACAACAUACCCAAAGGGCACCAUGACUCUGGGCAGGGCCACUAAUCGAGCUGUAUAUGGAGGCCGAGUCACAGCCAUGGGGAGUAGUCCCAAUAUUGCUUCCGCAGGACUUUCCCACACAGAUGUCCUUUCAUAUACUGAUCAACAUGGUGGCCUGAGUGGCUCAUCCCAUCACCACCACCACCAGGUCCCCUCCAUGUUGAGGCAGGUAAGAGAUAGCACAAUGUUAGACCUUCAGGCCCAGCUCAAGGAACUCCAGAGAGAGAAUGAUCUCCUUCGGAAAGAGCUGGACAUCAAGGACAGCAAGCUGGGAUCUUCCAUGAACAGCAUCAAGACCUUCUGGAGUCCUGAGCUUAAGAAGGAAAGAGUCCUGAGGAAGGAAGAGGCAGCCCGGAUGUCUGUCCUUAAGGAGCAGAUGAGGGUUUCCCAUGAAGAAAAUCAGCACCUGCAGUUGACAAUCCAGGCUCUUCAGGAUGAGCUGCGAACCCAGAGAGACCUCAACCACCUCCUGCAGCAGGAGAGUGGCAACCGUGGAGCGGAGCACUUCACCAUUGAGCUGACGGAGGAGAACUUCAGGAGGCUCCAGGCUGAGCAUGAUAGACAGGCCAAGGAGCUCUUCCUGCUGAGGAAGACCCUGGAGGAAAUGGAGCUAAGAAUCGAGACACAGAAACAGACCCUCAACGCCCGAGAUGAAUCGAUCAAAAAGCUCCUGGAGAUGUUGCAAAGUAAAGGUUUACCAUCCAAAAGCCUUGAGGAUGACAACGAGCGGACGCGCCGGAUGGCAGAGGCUGAAUCUCAGGUCAGCCACUUGGAAGUAAUUUUAGACCAGAAAGAGAAGGAAAACAUUCAUCUGAGAGAGGAAUUACAUCGAAGAAGCCAACUUCAGCCCGAGCCAGCCAAGACGAAGGCUCUCCAGACUGUCAUUGAAAUGAAGGACACAAAAAUCGCUUCAUUGGAGCGAAACAUAAGGGAUCUUGAGGAUGAGAUCCAGAUGUUAAAAGCCAAUGGUGUGCUGAACACUGAGGACCGUGAAGAAGAGAUCAAACAAAUAGAGGUUUACAAAAGUCACUCCAAGUUUAUGAAGACCAAGAUUGAUCAACUGAAGCAGGAACUUUCAAAGAAGGAGUCAGAACUUCUUGCCUUACAAACAAAGCUUGAAACCCUUAGCAAUCAAAAUUCAGAUUGCAAGCAACACAUUGAAGUGCUUAAAGAGUCGCUUACUGCCAAAGAACAAAGGGCUGCCAUUCUUCAGACUGAGGUAGAUGCACUGAGAUUACGACUGGAAGAAAAAGAAUCUUUUCUCAAUAAAAAAACAAAACAAUUGCAGGACCUCACAGAAGAGAAGGGAACACUGGCUGGAGAGAUUCGUGACAUGAAAGAUAUGUUAGAAGUGAAGGAAAGAAAAAUUAAUGUUCUCCAGAAAAAGAUUGAAAACUUGCAAGAACAACUUAGGGAUAAAGACAAGCAACUGACCAAUCUGAAAGACAGAGUGAAGUCCUUGCAGACGGAUUCCAGUAACACAGAUACUGCGCUGGCGACACUCGAGGAAGCUCUGUCAGAGAAGGAGAGAAUAAUUGAGCGUUUGAAAGAACAGCGGGAGAGAGAUGAUCGGGAAAGACUAGAAGAGAUAGAAUCUUUCCGCAAAGAGAACAAGGACCUGAAAGAAAAGGUCAAUGCUUUACAAGCUGAACUCACAGAAAAAGAGUCUAGUUUAAUUGACCUCAAAGAACAUGCAUCUUCAUUAGCUUCUGCAGGACUGAAAAGGGACUCCAAAUUAAAAUCUCUAGAAAUAGCCAUCGAACAAAAGAAAGAGGAAUGUAGCAAACUGGAAGCCCAGUUAAAAAAGGCACAUAAUAUUGAAGAUGACUCCAGGAUGAACCCUGAGUUUGCAGACCGACUAAAACAGCUUGAUAAAGAGGCAUCUUACUACCGUGAUGAGUGUGGCAAGGCCCAAGCCGAAGUGGACCGGUUGCUGGAGAUCCUCAAAGAGGUGGAAAAUGAAAAGAAUGACAAGGACAAGAAGAUCGCAGAACUUGAGAGCUUGACUUUCAGGCAUAUGAAGGAUCAGAAUAAGAAGGUAGCCAACCUCAAACACAAUCAACAGCUGGAAAAGAAGAAGAAUGCCCAGUUAUUGGAAGAAGUUCGCAGGCGAGAAGAUAGCAUGGCUGACAACUCACAGCAUUUGCAGAUAGAGGAACUGAUGAACGCCUUGGAGAAGACCAGGCAAGAACUGGAUGCCACCAAAGCCCGCCUUGCCUCUACACAGCAGUCCCUGGCUGAGAAAGAAGCACACUUGGCCAACCUGCGGAUAGAGAGGAGGAAACAGCUGGAGGAGAUCCUGGAGAUGAAACAGGAAGCACUACUUGCAGCAAUCAGUGAGAAAGAUGCAAAUAUUGCAUUGCUGGAAUUGUCUGCCUCCAAAAAGAAAAAGACGCAAGAGGAAGUCAUGGCUCUCAAGAGGGAGAAAGACCGACUAGUGCAUCAGUUAAAGCAGCAGACCCAGAACAGAAUGAAGCUGAUGGCAGACAACUACGAUGAAGACCAUCACCAUUACCACCACCACCACCACCACCACCACCAUCGAUCUCCUGGGAGGUCGCAACAUUCCAAUCACAGGCCCUCUCCGGACCAGGAUGACGAGGAGGGCAUAUGGGCAUAGCCGGGCCUGUAAACCAAAGUUCCAGUUUUGUUUUGAGGGAUGAUCCAGCUCUGUCGGAGGCACGUAGGCACAGMCAAAUCUCAUGCUGUACAUUGAUCACCUGUCCAACCUUUGCCUAGAGUGGGAGCCCCCAGUUCCUUCAAGAGAUCCAACUUUACCUGUCUGUAAAGAAGAAGAGGAGGAGGGAGACAGCGGGGAGGAUCCGGUGGCAGUUUAACAGCAGAGCAGCUAUCAGAAGGGCUGAACCCAGGGGAAGUGCAGCUCUGCGGCAAUAUUCUGACACUCCUUUGCAGUGGGCUCAUGUCACUGUCCUCCACCACCACCGGGAGCGGCUCAGCAGAACCAAAGGGGAGUUUUCACUUUCAUUCUCCAGUGCAGUUUUGUUCGACUUGGUAUUUCCUUCAUCCUCUCAUGUCUUUUCUCAUGGAUUUGGAUUGGAAAGGAAGAAUACACAGGUGGAGAAAAAUGACACAUCCUCCAUUUUAUGUUGGGAUUUGGGCAUUGAACAUGGGACCAUCUCUUCUGAAUGCAUUUAUUUGAUAGCGUUUUAUUUCUGUUACUUAUCUUCAUUGGAUAUGUUGGAACUCCAUGGGAUUUUAAGUAUGGAUUCAGCUUCUGUUGGACCGCUAGCUUCAUCUCCAGUUAUCCUGCUGGUUCUGUCUCAGUGGUCAUUCCUAAUGCAUUAGAUUACCAACCAGUGUACAUUUGUCGCGCGCGAGUGAGUGGUGUUGGYGGUGUUUGUCAACCACGGUGCAAGGAGCAUUUGACAAAGAAACCAAAACACCAAAAAGGGCRAGCCUUUACCCUCCUCUGUUUCUUUAAUCCGCUGUUCGAAGAACCGUGUUUUUGAUGGUACAAACCAGUAGUUACCUCUGGGCCAGGUUGGAAAUGAUAUCAAUUUUUUAAACCACUAAUACUUGCCAAGAAAUCGCCUUAUGAGAAUAUGGUGUGUGUCUCUGACAAUGCAUGGCACAUCUAAAUUAUUCAUUCAUAAUUUUCUUUCCCUGCUUAGGUAUUGGAAGUGGCAACAGCCUGAGGCGCCUGCAUAUCAACUCCUUGUGUUCCCUGCACCCCAGGGCUGGGAUUGAUCCAGCCUCAGGCUGUUACCAUUCCUGUACUCCCAGGUCUCCAUUGAAGAAGCUGGGACGCCUGCCUUCACACUUCAAGAUCCAAAAGCUGUGCAAACAGUGUAAGCUUAGAUCUUCUAGACAGGAAGGGUCAUUUCUCAUUUUUUUUAAAUGUYUGCAACAUGGAUUCCAAAGCAUUUUCAGCAUCAAACACGAAAACAUUGAUGAAUGAGGAAUAAUCCCCAAAGCUGUGUAUCUGUAUAUAGCCUGACACAACACGUAUGUGGAUACAGAGUCAUUAUUUAAAGCACAUGCCAGGGAAAGAGACCCAAUUUCAAGGUCUUUUACAUAUAGUGACAUGGUACUAAGGAGAAUUCAACUCCUACUGCUUCCUCUGAAGAUGAAAAAAAAAAUUAAAGUUGUAGUAACUUCAUAAAACUCACGACUGAGUCUGGCAAAACACGUGCAACUCUUGUAUUGAUCCAUUUUCUUGUCGAUGGAAGAAACCCUUCCACGUGGAUGCAAGUGGGAGAUGAAAACCUGCAUUUUUAAAGGACAAACAGUGAAUUUAAGCAUGAGUGGCCUUAAUAAAUAUAGUUGUCUUUUUUUGCUGCUGUGGAAAGGAUUCUAAACAGAUGUUCCUGAAGUCCUGCAUUGAAUUUAGUCAUUAUUACUUUUUAAAAUGUUGGUGCAAUUAACUCUGGACCUCUCUCGUGAGCCAUAGAGAUAUUAAAAGACAAACUUCUUAUUUGUUGGGGAAGAUAAAAUCAUCUCUAAGCUGCACCCUUCCCUCUCGGUGCAUCAGGAGUCAUAUAUUCAAGCUGGUUUCUUGCUUCUGGCUUUGUUCUUGUCGUCAGGAUAGCAAACUAUGUAAAAGCUUUCGUGUUGCAUAAACAAUCCAAAUACAUUCAUGUUUAAAAAGUUUGUCCUUUAACUAUUCAAGGGAUCUAGGUCUCGGUUGGAGGAGUGAGCAGAGUUCUUUGCAAGCUUAUUUAGUACAUUUUGACACGAUGUCGAACUGAAACCACAGGCCACAGACACAUCCCCAUGAACAGUUUGUCCUCACUGCCUCCUGUAACCAGGUCCUGGCCUAAACUCUGCAACUGAAUACUUGAAGUAGGAAGUACGAAAUCCAGUAGGGAAAGUAGGGUCCUUAAAAUAGGAAAAAAAAWUUUUUUUUAAAUACAAAUAAAUACACCUGACCAUAAUAGUUAGCUAUUUCUAUGUCCGUGCCAAUUUUGUCACAGAUAUUGUUUGGGGGAUCAUUUUGACCCUACUUUUGUUGGUUGAAAGUAUGAUUGACCUUACCUAUAUGCAAGCAUCUAAUUUAGUCUCUUAAAAUUAAAUUCUAUCUACAGUAUCUUUUUCUCAUUUCAUGUCAUAUUCUCUAAUGUUUGGGGGUUACACACACAUGAAAAAAUCCCUUUCACACAUUGAAAAUAGCCUCUGGGUUUACAACAAACACUGUGAAGUUGGGAAGCUAUUUCCUUUGCACAAAGUUUAGCAAGUUCCCUUCUAAUCAUAAUGCAGUUGGAAAAAAAAAAGUUUGGGCUAACAUUUAGGAAAAGUUGGUCUAAGUCUUUCUGUGGGCAGACGCAGGCUUGUAAUUUCUAACCCAUUUGAUUUCUAUGUACAGUCUCAAUUUUGUAUUUAAUGAUUUUUGUGUAUCCAGUGUGCACGUUAACAGCGUGUCGACUUCCAUUUGAGAGUGGGCUUUACUUUUUAAACAGUGUUUCUGAUGAGACCUCAAACGUGUUGACAUCAGCUCUCUCUGCGAUGUUUUUUUUUUUUGUGUGUGUGUGUGUAGAGUGGCGUUUGAAUGCUGCCAGGGGUCAGUGUAUCUACUUCCCAGAGACCCUCGUUUGAUAGUGCUUCUUGUAAUAUUUCUUCAAGUGAGUGGCAUGUGGGUUGUGAUAUUGACCAUGUGAUUAUGGACAUCGAUAUGAAAAAAAUAAAAAUAAAAAUAAGGAACCCUGGAAACUACCAGUGGGCAUGUAUUAGCCAGUCAUUGUAACCUUGUGUCUAGUAGAAGUACAAUGUACAAGGUAUGUACAGUUCAUAAAUUUGUUAUCAUGUGUAUGAGAAGUACUUUGUGCUGAUCGCCUUAUUUAUAUUCAUCAAAUAAACCUUGUUUUCUUUCUGAA